GAUGAAGAACGCAGCAAAAUGCGAUAAGUAAUGUGAAUUGCAGAAUUCAGUGAAUCAUCGAAUCUUUGAACGCACAUUGCGCCCGCUGGUAUUCCGGCGGGCAUGCCUGUUCGAGCGUCAUUUCAACCCUCAAGCCCCCGGGUUUGGUGUUGGGGAUCGGCUCUGCCCUUCUGGGCGGUGCCGCCCCCGAAAUACAUUGGCGGUCUCGCCGCAGCCUCCAUUGCGUAGUAGCUAACACCUCGCAACUGGAACGCGGCGCGGCCAUGCCGUAAAACCCCAACUUCUGAAUGUUGACCUCGGAUCAGGUAGGAAUACCCGCUGAACUUAAGCAUAUCAAUAAGCGGAGGA
rnacentral:misc_RNA from 1 species